UGGAAUUUUCUGCUCUCUGAUUUUUUUUUUUUUUUUUUUCCCUUGCUUAGUGCUUGGACCUAUCAGGGUUGUGACAUCAGUUUUGGCACCUUUAAGUAAACAACCAAGUUCUUACUCGUUCCAUCUCAUGGGAAGGGAAGAAAAAAAAAAUCCAGGGAGAAAAUGAUGUAAGCAAGAAACGCAUAGUUCACAAAAUUCACAUUGUCAGCCCUCAGCAGAAAAUAUCCAAAAAAUAUAUAUAUACACAAAGAAAACGUUGGAUUUCCUAGCAAUUACCUUACAGCUUGAUAAAGGCAACUCAUGAAGCAAAAUACGCCUUAAGUUUAGUGGACAGACAUGUAGAAUAAAUUGGAUCAACAGAUACACUCAAAACAACUGUAUGGCUUAUCAUGCAGUUUCCACCAAUGAAGAUAAGAUGAAAAUUAUUCAGUCCUAGUUAACCUUCACAAGUUUGUACCAAGAUGUAAUCUUCUGCAGUAUAGCGUACCU
rnacentral:misc_RNA from 1 species